AGUGAACGCUGGCGGUAGGCCUAACACAUGCAAGUCGAACGGCAGCACAGUAAGAGCUUGCUCUUACGGGUGGCGAGUGGCGGACGGGUGAGGAAUACAUCGGAAUCUACUUUUUCGUGGGGGAUAACGUAGGGAAACUUACGCUAAUACCGCAUACGACCUACGGGUGAAAGCAGGGGAUCUUCGGACCUUGCGCGAUUGAAUGAGUCGAUGUCGGAUUAGCUAGUUGGCGGGGUAAAGGCCCACCAAGGCGACGAUCCGUAGCUGGUCUGAGAGGAUGAUCAGCCACACUGGAACUGAGACACGGUCCAGACUCCUACGGGAGGCAGCAGUGGGGAAUAUUGGACAAUGGGCGCAAGCCUGAUCCAGCCAUACCGCGUGGGUGAAGAAGGCCUUCGGGUUGUAAAGCCCUUUUGUUGGGAAAGAAAUCCAGCCGGCUAAUACCUGGUUGGGAUGACGGUACCCAAAGAAUAAGCACCGGCUAACUUCGUG
rnacentral:rRNA from 1 species